CGCGACACGGAGUUUAUCUUUUACAAUAUAUUUCGCGAUAUUUUUCCAAAGGUCAAAAACGUGUCGGACGGGGCCAAAGCCGCGAAAUUGACUGCAUCGGGAUAAUGCAACAAAAAGUUUAAUCGGAUUUCCGCCGAGACUCGCCGAAAAAUUCAAUCGUAACAGACGCGUAAAAGCAUACGCACUUCGGAAUAAAUCGUGGCAUCGCAUAAAUUAGGUUGAUUUUCUUUAAAACACCGCCGGUCAAUUUGAACGGUAACAGACUUGGAUCCGGAGUGUCUCCUCACACGAGUGUUUUCCGAGCGACGAAAAACCAAUGCCUAUACGAAAUAACAGGAUCCGGGGGACGAACCGUUGAGAAUUUCGAAAAACAUUUCAAGUGAGAGCGUCCUUUACGGUAUGUUGCGUGAACGAAUCGGAACGUUUU